rnacentral:rRNA from 1 species
AACGAACGCUGGCGGCAUGCUUAACACAUGCAAGUCGAACGGUCUUAUGGGGCUUGCUCCAUAAGAUAGUGGCAGACGGGUGAGUAACACGUGGGAACGUACCCUAAGGUUCGGAAUAACAGUUGGAAACGACUGAUAAUACCGGAUAUCUCCGAGAGGAGAAAGGUUUACCGCCUUGGGAGCGGCCCGCGUCUGAUUAGGUAGUUGGUGAGGUAAAGGCUCACCAAGCCGAUGAUCAGUAGCUGGUUUGAGAGAAUGAUCAGCCACACUGGGACUGAGACACGGCCCAGACUCCUGCGGGAGGCAGCAGUGGGGAAUAUUGGACAAUGGGGGAAACCCCGAUCCAGCAAUGCCGCGUGAGUGAAGAAGGCCUUCGGGUUGUAAAGCUCUUUUGUCCGUGACGAUAAUGACGGUAGCGGACGAAUAAGCACCGGCUAACUUCGUGCCAGCAGCCGCCGCCG